UACGAAGGGGGCUAGCGUUGCUCGGAAUGACUGGGCGUAAAGGGCGCGUAGGCGGUUCGUACAGUCAGACGUGAAAUUCCCGGGCUCAACCUGGGGGCUGCGUUUGAUACGUGCGGGCUUGAGUUCGGAAGAGGGUCGUGGAAUUCCCAGUGUAGAGGUGAAAUUCGUAGAUAUUGGGAAGAACACCGGUGGCGAAGGCGGCGACCUGGUCCGAUACUGACGCUGAGGCGCGAAAGCCAGGGGAGCGAACAGG
rnacentral:rRNA from 1 species